CCUACGGGAGUGCAGCAGUGGGGAAUAUUGGACAAUGGGCGAAAGCCUGAUCCAGCCAUGCCGCGUGUGUGAAGAAGGCCUUCGGGUUGUAAAGCACUUUCAGUGGGGAAGAAAGCCUUGGGGCUAAUACCCUCGAGGAAGGACAUCACCCACAGAAGAAGCACCGGCUAACUCCGUGCCAGCAGCCGCGGUAAUACGGAGGGUGCGAGCGUUAAUCGGAAUUACUGGGCGUAAAGCGCGCGUAGGCGGUCUGAUAAGCCGGUUGUGAAAGCCCCGGGCUCAACCUGGGAACGGCAUCCGGAACUGUCAGGCUAGAGUGCAGGAGAGGAAGGUAGAAUUCCCGGUGUAGCGGUGAAAUGCGUAGAGAUCGGGAGGAAUACCAGUGGCGAAGGCGGCCUUCUGGACUGACACUGACGCUGAGGUGCGAAAGCGUGGGUAGCAAACAGGAUUAGAUACCCGGGUAGUC
rnacentral:rRNA from 1 species